CCAGAAGCUACAGAGAUGGAGAGAGAGGAACAGAACAAACAAACAAUGCGCUCAUCCACAACAUUGAUAAGUCUGCAUUUCAAAAGGAAACGUCCCUCUUUGCCACGUAUCCAAUCAGAGCUCAGAUGCUACCUACUGCAGCACAAUCCAAUGCACAUGCAGUCUUUGGAACCUGUCAGCUGACCUCACCCAAGCACCUCUACCCCAAAAGCCAGACAUUCCUCAAUGUCCCCCACACCACUUCCUAGAGAAAUAGGUUCCAUAGAGUCAAACUUGCUGCAAUUGGACCCUACUGCAUGCAACUCACUGCUAGUCCAGUUCCCUACCUCUGCAACUGAUCCAGAAUGUAGCAAUAUCUGGUGUUACAACCUUUCCUUGUUCUCCAAUGUCACACCACUCCUCCACUGGCUUCCUGAAGAUGCUUGCAUCAAAUGUAAUACUCUGUUGCUUGAUUCAGUGCAGUGAAGGUCACUCCUCAUCCUUUUGUCAACAGUGAACAUCUAAAUAGAGAAUAAGUGUGUGUUUGUUUUUCCAUGCCGCUGCCGCCUUCACCCCUAUUACAGUGCCUCUUUACAUGUUGCCUUGUGUGUGUUUGUGACUGAACUGAUUAACAUGUUACAAAUAUGAACUAUACACCCUUUGACACAAUCCCUGUCUCAAUGAUAGAUAACGUCCUGGAACUCUGAAGUGCUCCUAACAGCGAAUUAUUAUAUUUUCAUGUGUUUUUUGUCUUCUGCAGACAAAUAUAAUGUUCCACUUCGACAACAAAGUUUAGAUUAGUAUAGUGACAGAUUGAUUCAGGUUGGAAGUCAUAUCAGCUGAAAGUACAUUAGGCUUGUAGCGCAAAGAAUAGACACCUUCAUUUUGAAAUAGACAGAGCAUGCACAACAAAGUUUCAAUUUCUUAUUUUUGACAC
ensembl:lncRNA